rnacentral:rRNA from 1 species
AGAGUUUGUAUCCUCGGCUCAGGAGUGAACGCUGGCGGCGUGCUUAACUACAUGCAAGUCGAACGGAACUCAUAUUGUAAACCUAAGUGAUUUAUUGAGUUAGUGGCGGACGGGUGGAGUAACGACGUGGAAAACCGUAGCCGUAUACUGGGGAGGUAACAACUUAGUAAAUAAGGUGGCUAAUAACCGCAUAAGACGCACAGCUUCGUCAUGAAGUGGUGUGAAAACUACCUGGUGGUAUACGAUGGUUCCGCGUCUGAUUAGCUUGUUGGUGGGGUAAUGGCUCCCCAAGGCGACGAUCAGUAGCCGGCCUGAGGGGGUGAACGGCCACAUUGGGACUGAGACACGGCCCAAACUCCUACGGGAGGCAGCAGUGGGGAAUAUUGCACAAUGGGGGAAACCCUGAUGCAGCGACGCCGCGUGAGUGAAGAAGUAUUUCGGUAUGUAAAGCUCUAUCAGCAGGGAAGAAAAUGGCGGUACCUGAUUAAGAAGCCCCGGCUAACUACGUG